AACACUUUGCAUGAUAGCAACCUAGUGUCCUUGGUGUCCCUUUCACAACCAUAGGAAGUUAAAAAGAUAUGAUAUUAUGUGGAGAGUUUUAUUUCUUUUUUUUCAGAAGUCGUAUAGUCUUUCAUUUACUUUUCAUGCUUGGGGUUUUUCAAUUCGCAUCUUAUUGAUGUAAUGUUUUUGUUCUAUUGAUUAAAUUGCAUAUAAACCUCAUAUAAACCUCCACCAAAGAACAAUAGGCUUUUGUUUACUUCUCUCUCUCUCUCUCUCUCUCUAAUGGCUAAUAUGAAUAUGCAAGGUCUGCUAUGUUUCCUUGUCUGUGUAUAUUCUUAACCAAUUUUGUUACCAAUCAAACAGGAAAGUGGAACUGAGAAGCCUGUUGUUGCAUUUAUUGCUGGCCUAACUGCUCCCCCUGGUCGUCGAAUGGGUCAUGCUGGAGCUAUUGUGUCAGGCGGCAAAGGUACAGCGCAAGGGAAAAUCCAAACCCUAAGGGAAGCUGGGGUAACAGUGGUGGAGUCUCCGGCAAAAAUUGGGACCACACUCUUGAUGUCUUCAAGCAGAAGGGCCUUGUUUAAUUAAAGUGCGGCAAAGUAAACUUGAUUGGCAAUCACCCAUUAUUUGAUCUUUGCAAAAUAUGCAACACAGUUUGCAUGCUUCAUGUUAAAUUCCCACACAAAUUAUAAUUGUGGCAGAGCAUUUUGAAGUUUCUCAAUCUCUUUUUUCCACAUAAUUUUGGUAUUUUCUUUCUUAAAAUAAAGAAUUAUAAGUUGAUAUUUACUUUUCCAUA